GCUCAGUCGGUUAAGUGGCUGACUCUUGAUUUUGGCUCAGGUCAUAAUCUCAUGGGUUGUGGGUUCUAGCCCCACAUUGGGCU
rfam:Felis catus isolate Cinnamon breed Abyssinian chromosome X, whole genome shotgun sequence.